AUUAAGCCAUGCAUGUCUAAGUAUAAGCAAUUAUACGGCGAAACUGCGAAUGGCUCAUUAUAUAAGUUAUCGUUUAUUUGAUAGUACCUUACUACUUGGAUAACCGUGGUAAUUCUAGAGCUAAUACAUGCUAAAAACCCCGACUUCGGAAGGGGUGUAUUUAUUAGAUUAAAAACCAAUGCCCUUCGGGGCUCCUUGGUGAUUCAUGAUAACUUCUCGAAUCGCAUGGCCUUGCGCCGGCGAUGGUUCAUUCAAAUUUCUUCCCUAUCAACUUUCGAUGUUUGGGUAUUGGCCAAACAUGGUUGCAACGGGUAACGGAGGGUUAGGGCUCGACCCCGGAGAAGGAGCCUGAGAAACGGCUACUACAUCCAAGGAAGGCAGCAGGCGCGCAAAUUACCCAAUCCCGACUCGGGGAGGUAGUGACAAUAAAUACUGAUACAGGGCUCUUUAGGGUCUUGUAAUUGGAAUGAGUACAAUUUAAAUCCCUUAACGAGGAACAAUUGGAGGGCAAGUCUGGUGCCAGCAGCCGCGGUAAUUCCAGCUCCAAUAGCGUAUAUUAAAGUUGUUGUGGUUAAAAAGCUCGUAGUUGAACCUUGGCCUCGGCCGGCCGGUCCGCCUCACCGCGUGCACUGGCUCGGCCGGGGCUUUCCCUCUGUGGAACCCCAUGCCCUUCACUGGGCGUGGCGGGGAAACAGGACUUUUACUUUGAAAAAAUUAGAGUGCUUCAGGCAGGCCUAUGCUCGAAUACAUUAGCAUGGAAUAAUAAAAUAGGACGUGCGGUUCUAUUUUGUUGGUUUCUAGGACCGCCGUAAUGAUUAAUAGGGACAGUCGGGGGCAUCAGUAUUCAAUUGUCAGAGGUGAAAUUCUUGGAUUUAUUGAAGACUAACUACUGCGAAAGCAUUUGCCAAGGAUGUUUUCAUUAAUCAGGAACGAAAGUUAGGGGAUCGAAGACGAUCAGAUACCGUCGUAGUCUUAACCAUAAACUAUGCCGACUAGGGAUCGGACGGUGUUAUUUUUUGACCCGUUCGGCACCUUACGAGAAAUCAAAGUGCUUGGGCUCCAGGGGGAGUAUGGUCGCAAGGCUGAAACUUAAG
rnacentral:rRNA from 1 species